GAGAGAGAUAAUACCACAUAGACUACAUGAAAUUCUGCAGUAAUGGUAAUAGCUUAAAAUCACUCCACAAUAAAUCUGUCCGAUAUAGUUUGUUCUGCUUGCCUGCAUGCACAUAAAAUACUUUAAUUCCUAGAUACAUUUGUAUUAACUGAAACUAUUAACUACCAACCUAUCCAAUAUCCACAAUAUCCAAAACAAGCAAAAACCUCAAAUACCUGAGUCACUAUACCUAGGUCUUAGAAACUGGAGAAAGAAAAAAAAAAAACACUGUGUCGGCCACAAUGACAUCACCCACUGGUUUGGACAUUUUAAAGCAUUGUGUUUGUGCUUUUUUUACUAUAAAAAAAACUAUAAAAUAAAACUAAUUUUUAAUAAAAGGGGAAAAUAUUCAUAACAGGCAAAAACUGCUUUUUUGUUGCAGGCUGUAAAUGUCACGGCUGGCGGAGUGAGCCGUGUGGAGUGGAGGAAAAGGAGGACCCAAAAUGCAGCAAACUGAUGAUACGAGUGAAGUUUAUUUACACGGUGGCAGUGGCAAAAACAGGCAAUGAAGCAUGAGUAAUGACAAACCUAAACUGGGAGAAACUAAAGAGCAAACCUGAAAUCUUACAAAACGGAGAGCGGAGCAGAGAGACGCAGACCAAGGACCAGGAUACCAAGAAACACAGACGAGCCGACCACGAACACAGACCGACACCCACACAAGGUGACAGGACAACAUGAUGGUGUUGUUCCUGGGACCACUCACUCAGAUUGGGGGUCCCUGCUCUGAGUACGAUGGAUAGCAUGGGGACCACUGUUGCCUUCCACCUCCACAUCUUCUCAAGCUCCUCUCUCAGCCCUCUUAAAGAUAUGCUUGUGAAGGUGGAAUAUGGGGG
ensembl:lncRNA